ACAAAUGCGUAGAUAAAACAGAAACUUUUUCCUCAGAUUCAAAGCAUAACAGCCACAAACAAGUCUUCGUUAUUUAAUUUUAAAACGUCACUUUAGAAUUAGUAACGAAUGAUUGUGCUGCUUCAGUGAAGCUAUUAGUGUGAAUUAAUGAGAUUAUUAUUAAGAAAUAAUAAGGGAGGAUGUGUGUGAAUGAAACAAAGACACUUUAAAUGUGCUGAAUGUGUGCACGUUAUAGUUUCAGUUUGCACGUAGCCAAUCAGAUUCCAGAACCACAUCUGUUCUAUAAACUUAAUUAUUUUGGAUCAUAUGUUUUUAAGUUUUGUCCAUUUUUGUGACUGGAAUACACUGUAAGGACAAAAGGACUGUGACACCCCCUUCUAAUGAAGAGGUUUGACUACUUUAGUAAAUUCUGUGAACACAAAUCUUAAUGCUACAGACAGUUCAGUAUAUUAAUGAGAAUUGUGUGUUUUUAAUUUUAUGGAUAAUAAUUUCAAUAGUAUGGGCAGGACACUUUUCUAUAAUUAUAUUAUAGAUUAAAGAUCAUAUUACAUCAUAAUGCCCAUGUGCACAAAACAAAGUAAAAAAAAGAAAUGAUUAAGAACUUCACUGGUUUGUAUAUAAAGUUAACUAAACCCAGCUACUUUGUUAUGACAAACAUUUACCACCCAUCAAGGUAACCAGAGCACAAAAAAAACUACAAAAUUCAACUGCUUUACGGCAUACAUCACUUCCUCCACACAAUUUGUUUUUAACGUGAAUUUUGCUGGAGGCUUACUUAAGGAAUGUAGAGAGCAGCUUCUAUUAUGUGACUCUGUGGCACAGUCUUUAGUGUCACGGACCUAUGACACGGGCAACCCGGGUUUGAUUCCCCUUUAAGGCAAUUUUUUUAUAUAAACUCUUGAUUCAUACAUAAAUGCGAUGUUCUUUAUAAAUGACGGCGAUUAUCUUGCAUAUAGUUCCCUGUAUUCACAUGCGGUGUUCGCGUAUUUACCUUUCUUUUACUGUGUCUAUGAUAUUUACAUUACAAUCCAGGAUGCAAUAGCAGUCAAACUUGCUCAAACUCACACAGUGUAAAACCAAACCCUUUUCAUUCACCAAUCAGAUCCGAGCGUUUCUCUCUUCUCUCUUCCUCAUUUGCUGCGUUCCGCUGUCACUCGCGUGACGUAUUACAAAGCGGCAGCCUUUAGGUCUGCUUGGACCACAUCGGUUUACUUGGAUUUGGAGCGACAAUUUUCACACAAAAGAGAGAAAAAACGAGCGCCAUUGCGGAAAAUCCUGGUGGCGAGGGAGAGAGAGAGACGAUGCAACAAUAUUUGUUUGGAAAAAGGCAAGGAAAUACUUCUGGUCUUUUCUCAAUUGGAAGGCUGCAGCCUCCGGAGGUCAAAUAUGCAGGCUGCAUACGUCAUCAAGCCUGGUUUAUUAAGGUAAACUGAGCAUUACAUUCGCAAGUCAUAAGCGUACUGCAACAAUUUACGAUUAACUAAGUAUAAUAGUCAACUUUGUAAUUGUUAAUAUUGUGAAAUAAGACAGUCUUGAUGACGUAUACAGCUUAGAAAUACGACAUCUGGAGGCUGCAACCUUCAGAUUGAGACAUGGCUGCUGCCACAACGAGUUCCUCAUCAGAAAGUUGUAACAUGACUGCGUUUCUCCCUGAUGCCUCAAAAUGUUGAUCGUUUAGCGUUUUAAAUGUUUAGUUUUUAGUUUAGUUUUAAGGUUGGCCAGUUCCUUUCCUUUGCGACAGUGCUGCGGCGCUUGUGGGCUCUAGGGGCGCUAGAAGUGAAAAAUACAUGUCUAGCACCCCCUAGUGGCCAAAAAGUUUCAUGGUGUGCCUUUAACUGACUGCCUGUCUGUCUGUUCUCAACCAAACAAUCAUUCAAGACCUUUUAAAGGUAAGUACGAACGCGUCUUUACCAUUGAGGAGGCUGACUGACUUUCAUCUACCAACCGUCAAAAACUAAAGAAAUGUUACUACAAGUGGACCUAUUUAUUUACUCAUCAUGCUGUAAGUACACCACAGUUUUGUCAGUGAAAAUAUAAUAUUUGAGUUUUCUCACUGCUUGGCGUAGACAAAUGUGACCAUGUGUAACGUUAAUUUGGAGAAUACAUGGAAAAAGUGUAUGUCUUAAUGUUUCAAUGUUGUUUGGAUUAAGGGACAGUACAGUGAUUUUGUUUUAAGAUAUUUCUGUUUGGACAGUCUAUUAAAGUCAUAAAGGAAUACUUGAUAUAUUUCAUAAGGACUGUGUAAAUCUAAUAUUAGUUUUAAUGUGAAUUUGGACUGAACAGCUCACUUUUGUUUUGUCUAAAAAAUGUUUGUAAAAUAAAUGAUUGUUCAAUAAACUGUAAUAAUUUC